rnacentral:rRNA from 1 species
GUUUGAUCAUGGCUCAGAACGAACGCUGGCGGCAUGCCUAACACAUGCAAGUCGAACGAAGCCUUCGGGCUUAGUGGCGCACGGGUGCGUAACGCGUGGGAAUCUGCCCCUUGGUUCGGAACAACAGUUAGAAAUGACUGCUAAUACCGGAUAACGACGAAAGUCCAAAGAUUUAUCGCCGAGGGAUGAGCCCGCGUAAGAUUAGGUAGUUGGUGGGGUAAUGGCCUACCAAGCCGACGAUCUUUAGCUGGUCUGAGAGGAUGAUCAGCCACACUGGGACUGAGACACGGCCCAGACUCCUACGGGAGGCAGCAGUGGGGAAUAUUGGACAAUGGGCGAAAGCCUGAUCCAGCAAUGCCGCGUGAGUGAUGAAGGCCUUAGGGUUGUAAAGCUCUUUUACCAGGGAUGAUAAUGACAGUACCUGGAGAAUAAGCUCCGGCUAACUCCGUG